ACAGACAUGGGAGACUGUGUUGUCAUUAGCUAGUCCUGUAAUUCUUGCCAGGAUAGUAGGGGUUGCUCAUUGUGAACACAUUCUGCUGCCAGCUCCUGAGUUGGAACAUUGUGUUUAUUUGUGAGAGAAUUUGAGUGUGAACAAUUUGGUUUAAAGAUUAAAUGAGGGAAUACAUUCUAUUGGUAAAUGAUUUCUGAUGAAAUCAUUACUCUUUUAAAGAAACUUUAAUAAAAUUAUUGAGAGGGUUCAUUUUUAAAACAUUGACUAUCACACUGAACAUUAUAGAAAUUGAAAAUUCUGUGUAUAUUUCACUUAGAAGAAUUUUCUAGCUUUCCUUUUGCCUUUUCGAGCAGUGGACAGAUGUACUGGAGGCAACCUAGCUUGGUAUGAUAAGUAGCAGAUUGGAAUAUAGAGCCUAACGAGAUAUUCACUGUCCGGAGUCCAAUUAUGUGAAUGUUUACUAUGUACAAGAAACUUUGAUAGACAUUCUAGGCAGGGAGGGAGGUUGAGGUGGAUAUAAUGAUAAAUAAGAAAUAGUCUCAAAUAGUAUAAAAUACAGUGGAAGAAAUAAAUCAGUAAAUAAUAGAAAAUAAAAUGAAACAAAUGUUAAACAGAUUUGAAGUAACAUGCUAUGGGGAAGAUAGGAAAGAGCAAUGAAGAUUUAUUAGAGAGGGAGUUCCCGUCACGGCUCAGUGGCUAACGAAUCCGACUAGGAACCAUGAGGUUGCGGGUUCGAUCCCUGGCCUCGCUCAGUGGGUUAAGGAUCCGGCGUUGCUGUGAGCUGUGGUGUAGGUUGCAGACGCGGCUUGGAUCCCGUGUUGCUGUGGCUCUGGCGUAGGCCGGAGGCUACAGCUCCGAUUCGAUCCCUAGCCUGGAAACCUCCAUAUGCCACGGGAGCAGCCCAAAGAAAUAGCAAAAAGACAAAAAAAAAGAAAAAAAAAAAGAAAAGGAGUAGUAUUUGAAUAGAUGGCAGGCACUGGGAAUAGGAGUGUGAUAAUUUGAAAAUGUACUAGUUUCAUUUUAAUAUAUGAAAAUAUCUUAGAGUUUUAUAAGUGUGUUAUCAUUUAGGGGCCAGGAAUAUUUCUAGAUUCGUCUUUGUAGUACCUUUCUCUUUUUCAUUUCUCUAAAUUUGAAGUAUUAACUGCUGAUACUCUAGGGCUACAUGAGUGUGGCCCUAAAAAGACAAAACAAAACAACAAAUAAAUUAUGCUACUUCUCAAACUAGUUAACACUCAGGGUUUCCAAGCAUUCUGAAACUUGUAUAAUAAUAAAACACUAAAUUUUGCUUGUCUUGUAGAAAGUACUUGAGUUUCCUAAGAGGAAUAAACUCUUAUUUUUUUUUCAAAGUUAAAAAUUUUUUUUGGUCUUUUUAGGGCCACACCUGCGGCAUAUGAAAGUUCCCAGGCUAGGAGUUGAAUGAGAGCUGCACCUGCCAGCCUCCACCACAGCCAUAGCAACACCAGAUCUGAGCCACAUCUGCAACCUACACCACAGCUCAUGGCAGUGCCAGAUCCCUGACCCACUAUGUGGGGCCAGGGAUCGAACCCACAUCCUUAUGGAUGCUAGUUGGGUUCAUUACCAUUGAGCCAUGGUGGGAACUCCAACAAAAGUUAAUUUUGUCCUGUACCUAGUCCAUUAUUGGUACCUUACUUAAAAAGUAAAUAGUAUUAAACGGGGUAAAAAAGAGACAGCAUUUAGUAGCAGUUAAGUUUUUUUAAGUACUUACUCUUUCCCAGAUUCUGUGCUAAGCACUUUAAACACAUUAUCUAAUUCACCCCGCACAACCAUCAGGGAGGGACUCAUUAUCUUUACUGAUGAAGAAUAUGAGGCAUAGGGAGAGGUUAAAUAAGUUGCCUAAGGUCGCACAAGCUAAGGAGUAGUAGAUUCAUAUUUAAAUCAGAACAUCUUUACUCAGCAGCACAUUUUAGUGACUUUUUUUGGCAGUAACAGAUGAUAAAUGUAUCUUUAUUUGUAUCUUAAUGAAUUUACCAUAAAGAUGAACACAAACCACUUAUUAUUGUAGGGAUACAGGGAAAAAGAUAACUGGAUUUUAAUUAUAAAUUUUUGAGGACUGCUUAUUUCCAUGUACAGGCUUUAAUUAGUGUAAGCUUUUAUUUAAUAUGUGCCGCAAAUUCACUAUCUUCUUGGUACCUCAUACACUGGAAACCCAUAUACAAGCCAAUGGUAUUAGAUUACCUAGAUCCUGGGUAAAAUUUAUCACUGAUGGUUACUAUUCCCACUUCAUAGUUUGUCAUUUUGUACUACCUCUAUCUAACUUCCUAGAAAGUUUUUUCUCUGUGGAAAGACCUUUUGAUAUGAGCUUCAAAAGGACAAGGAUCUUUUAGCAAUGGCCCAGUACAUACUAAGUGUUCAAUAAAUAUUUG
ensembl:lncRNA